rnacentral:sRNA from 1 species
GCCAGGCGCUGUGGUGCAUGCCUGUAAUCCCAGCAGCUCAGGAGGCUGAGGCAGGAGGAUUGAGAGUUCAAAGCCAGCCUCAGCAAAAUCGAGGACCUAAGCAACUCAGUGAGCCCCUGUCUCUA